GGGGGGAUAAACUGCGCGAAAGCGUUGCUAAUACCGCAUACGACCUACGGGUGAAAGCAGGGGACCGCAAGGCCUUGCGUCGAUGGAGCGGCCGAUGCCGGAUUAGCUAGUUGGUGAGGUAAAGGCUCACCCAAGGCGACGAUCCGGUAGCUGGUCUGAGAGGACGACCAGCCACACUGGGACUGAGACACGGCCCAGACUCCUACGGGAGGCAGCAGUGGGGAAUUUUGCGCAAUGGGGGAAACCCUGACGCAGCAACGCCGCGUGGAGGAUGAAGUCUCUUGGGACGUAAACUCCUUUCGAUCGGGACGAUUAUGACGGUACCGGAAGAAGAAGCCCCGGCUAACUUCGUG
rnacentral:rRNA from 1 species